rnacentral:rRNA from 1 species
GAGGAAUAUUGGUCAAUGGACGCAAGUCUGAACCAGCCAUGCCGCGUGCAGGAUGACGGCUCUAUGAGUUGUAAACUGCUUUUGUACGAGGGUAAACGCAGAUACGUGUAUCUGUCUGAAAGUAUCGUACGAAUAAGGAUCGGCUAACUCCGUGCCAGCAGCCGCGGUAAUACGGAGGAUUCAAGCGUUAUCCGGAUUUAUUGGGUUUAAAGGGUGCGUAGGCGGUUUGAUAAGUUAGAGGUGAAAUUUCGGGGCUCAACCCUGAACGUGCCUCUAAUACUGUUGAGCUAGAGAGUAGUUGCGGUAGGCGGAAUGUAUGGUGUAGCGGUGAAAUGCUUAGAGAUCAUACAGAACACCGAUUGCGAAGGCAGCUUACCAAACUAUAUCUGACGUUGAGGCACGAAAGCGUGGGGAGCAAACAGGAUUAGAUACCCUGGUAGUCCACGCAGUAAACGAUGAUAACUCGUUGUCGGCGAUA